rnacentral:rRNA from 1 species
GUCCACGCCGUAAACGAUGGAUACUAGCUGUUCGGAGCAAUCUGAGUGGCUAAGCGAAAGUGAUAAGUAUCCCACCUGGGGAGUACGCACGCAAGUGUGAAACUCAAAGGAAUUGACGGGGGCCCGCACAAGCGGUGGAGCAUGUGGUUUAAUUCGAUGAUACGCGAGGAACCUUACCAGGGCUUAAAUGUAGAUUGACAGGACUGGAAACAGUUUUUCUUCGGACAAUUUACAAGGUGCUGCAUGGUUGUCGU